rnacentral:rRNA from 1 species
UUAUGGCUCAGGAUGAACGCUAGCUACAGGCUUAACACAUGCAAGUCGAGGGGCAGCAUGGAUAGCUUGCAAUUCAGAUGGCGACCGGCGCACGGGUGAGUAACGCGUAUCCAACCUUCCUGCCAGUAGGGAACAGCCGGCGAAAGUCGGAUUAAUGCCCUAUGUUCUUCAAUGCGGACAUCUAAGUUGAAGGAAAGAUUCAUCGCUGGCAGAUGGGGAUGCGUCCGAUUAGCUUGCCGGCGGGGUAACGGCCCACCGGGGCGACGAUCGGUAGGGUUCUGAGAGGAAGGUCCCCCACACUGGUACUGAGACACGGACCAGACUCCUACGGGAGGCAGCAGUGAGGAAUAUUGGUCAAUGGGCGUAAGCCUGAACCAGCCAAGUAGCGUGCAGGAUGACGGCCCUACGGGUUGUAAACUGCUUUUAUGCGGGGAUAAAGUGCGGCACGUGUGCCGCUUUGCAGGUACCGCAUGAAUAAGGACCGGCUAAUUCCGUGCCAGCCGCGGC